rnacentral:misc_RNA from 1 species
GAUGAAGAACGUAGUGAAAUGCGAUAAGUAAUGUGAAUUGCAGAAUUCAGUGAAUCAUCGAAUCUUUGAACGCACAUUGCGCCCCUUGGUAUUCCGAGGGGCAUGCCUGUUCGAGCGUCAUUAUAACCCCUCAAGCUCAGCUUGGUGUUGGGGCCUGCUGCACUGGCAGCCCUUAAAAUCAGUGGCGGCGCCAUCUGGCUCUGAGCGUAGUAAUUCUUCUCGCUAUGGAGUCCUGGUGGAUGCUUGCCAUCAACCCCCAAUUUUUCUAUGGUUGACCUCGGAUCAGGUAGGGAUACCCGCUGAACUUAAGCAUAUCAAUAAGCGGAGGA